rnacentral:lncRNA from 1 species
CCUCUAACCGCCGACAAAGGCUUUUCUAAACUAAUGCUACCUUUUCUUGUUCCUGUUCUCCGUUCAUUCCUCUCUUCCUUUUUCUUUUCUUUUUUUUCUAAAAAAAAAAAAUCCAAAGAAGGAUAGAACAUGGAAGGCCGCAUAAGCUCUCAAGUCUCAAGCCCAUCGGUGGCAAAAGCUCUUAGGCAGCCACUCCGAAUGUUUUGAGAAACAUUUCCCCUGUGUUUUGAGAUGGACGAAUUCGAAGAGGUUGAGCAAUCUUUAAGUUUUUCCAGCGAAUUUUUGACGAUGCUCUUGAUUUUUUAGUUCUCUUGACAUGGAUUCAUUGCAAGAGUAAGCUUUACAAUAGACAUUGAAGUCUUGUCUGUUCUGGGUUCUAACUGCAACUUCAAGAACAAAGUGGACAAGCUAGUCUUGUCCAUUCUUUCUGCUUUUCGUUGUUUUUUUUUAGUUUUAUUUCCAUUCUUAUUUCUUAUUUCUUUUCAGGAUUUCCAUUCUUAUAUCCUUAGGUAUUUAUUUUCAAAACUAACAAAUAAUCAAACUUUUAUCUUUUUUCUUCAAUCUGCUCUUUUCUUCAUCUCUCUUUCUUUUUUUUUUUUUGGUCUUUUCCCCAUAUCUAAGAUUAAAUCUUAUUUAGAAAAAGAUAUCAAGCACUGAUUGUGGUGGCUAAAUUGAAGGAGCUGAGGAGGUGAAAAUGGGUUUUAGAGAGGUGAGAGAUCAGGAGGAAUUUAGAUAGGCAAAGAAAAAAAAAAGCAACAAAAAUGGCAAAAAAAAAAAAAAACCGGGUUCUCAUCGGUUUUACCGGUUUCCGGUCAAACCCGGGCUUGACCGAGUUUCUGUCAUCCGAGUUUUUAGAGCAGCUCGGACCGGACACUUGACCGGUUCCCGGUUGAACCGGUCGGACCGGCCGGUCCGGUCCGAGUUUAAAAACACUGGUAAAAAGCUUGGCUCAAGCUCGAGCUACUCGUUACAUUCAAUGAGUCGAGUUCGACCUCCAAAAAUAAAUACUCAAAUGCUCAACGAGUUUAAUCGAGUUUUCAUAUUAUAUUUAUAUUAUAUAUUUUUAAAAAAAUUUAUAUGUUUAUUUCAAAACUCGAGUUCGAACUCGAGUAGAUCAGGCUUGAUAUUUACUCGAGCUUACUCGAGUUCAAACGAGUCGAGUUAGAGUUUAAUUUUAUUUUAUUGAGUCGAGCUCGAGUCCAAAUUUGUUUACUAGUUCGAGCUCGAGCUCGAGUAGCACUGAUUCUGAUCGAGUUCGAUCUCGAGCAUGGUGCUACUCGAACUCGACUCGAUAGUAUCUCUAAUCCCGAUAAGGUUAAGGUAAAGAACAAUAAAAGGGCACAAACAUGGUCAAAAUUACAAGAAAACCUAUCCAAACAUUAAUAAACGGACACACAAAUCUCCAAAUUUACGGGCAAAAACCUGACCACCAAGGGCAUUAUAGAGAAAGAAAAUGCAAAGUCAAUAUCAGAAAAUUCAGGAGCCACAAAUUUCACCUUUAUGCCACGUUGGAAAGACCAAAAUACCCCACGAAUUCAUCAGAAUUACCAUCAAAACCGGCCCAUGGCUGCACUGUAGCUAAACCCUCUUCCCCCUUUUAUAUAUUGUAGAUUCUAAAAGUGAAAAAUUGUGCAGGAUAUAACCACUUCAACACAACAUUCUAAAAGUGGAAGAAGGUGAUUAAAGGCACUAGAAACUUAACCGCUUAAAAUCUAAACACUAGCCAACUUCAUUGAGUCACUGCAAAGUACAUGAUACCAAGCAUAAAGUUGUCCUAAUACAUCAAAAUACCUAACAAGCACUCAGCUUCUCAAACUUCGUACAACCAAUUUCUCACUAACAGUUUUCAUUGCAUAACAGAGCACAUGGGUCAAUUAAGAUUGCAUAGCAUGAUACUUCUCCAGUUCUUUGUCAAGUUGAUCAGCUGAUUUGUCAAGAGCUUUCUUUAUCCCACGGCACCCACCACGAAAUUUAAGUUUGGAAAUCAGGAAUGCAAUAAACAGGGGCCAUCAGUUAUUGACUUGUACAAAUACAAACAACAAAAGAAAAACCAAAAUAUCAAGUCCAUUUAAUAUUUCAUCCAUGAAUAGCACUUUAGACGGACCAACCAAUACCUCACCUAUCAAACAUAGGCAAGUCAGUGUGACGAUAAAACUUGCUGUCCAUGGUCAAGAAGCAACAGCCUAAAGAAUUUACCAGUUUUAAGCCUCUUCUUUUGGCCACGUAACAUGUCAAUUCUGCAUUUGAGAAGUUCCCAAACCAUUUGAAAGAAACUUUAAAUUUAAGAAUAUAUUAAGGAUUGUUGCCCAUACUUUGAAGGUACAACAUAUUACUUCAAACUUGAUCUGCAAAGCUUCCUAAGAUAGCUGCCAAAUCAAGAAACCAGGGUUUGACCAUGAAGUAAGACUCUAAACUCCAAGACUUGCAAUUUACCAGAAUCGAUCAAAUGGACAACAAUAAGUAAUGAUAGCAAACAUUUCUAGGGACAGAAAAUAAAAAAUGCAUUCAUUGUGCUAAACAAAACAGCGUUAAAGUCGUCAAGAACAAACAUUUGAUCAGAGAAUAGCUUUGACAGAAAAGAAAAGAAAAACUUACCACAAAAUACGACUUCAAUGCCGGGUUUCAGGACUUAACUCCUCAAACGUAGCAAUGUUGUAAAGCCUUAGGAGAUAAGAACCCCCAAAAUGACGUGCAAGAGCUAAAUUCCUUUCUGGCAAUGAUGGCUAUUAUAGACAAAAAGAGCAAAAGAAAAAACAAUAAAUGAAAGAUUAAUCAUACGAUAAACAUGGCUGUUACAUAUCCAAAAACAAUAAAAGAAACAUUAAUUAUACGAUAAAGAUGGCUGUUACGUGUAACAAAGAAAGAUCAAUUACGACAUGUGAGGAUGUGAGGAGGUGGUGGUUCACUUAAUAGAGAAAUAAAGUUAGAAGUAUUACUAUAUCUGCAUUAAAGUCUUGUAUUAUCUGCUGAUAGUUAGCGAGUGUGUCCGCAUCCUCAGUGUGAGCACCAAAAUUUCUUAGAUAUUCUACAUAAGACCAGAAGUUAUCAAUGUAAUCUUUUGGCUUAGACACACUUUCCAAUUUUAGUUCCGCUGCUUUUUUUGCCGCUGAAUUGAAGGAUAAUUAAAUACAGCGGUAUAGAUGCUAGGUCGGUUAGCUUGUCGAAUUCGAGAUGUCCAAGAUCCGAAACUAACUCUUAAAUUCUUUGCUCUCUUUUUCAUCCUUCGCUCAGCACGAAUGACAAUUUCCUCACGCUCUACUUGCGUCAAGAGGAAAUGAUGGUACUUCAGUUUUGGCAUAGAGAAAUGAAAUAAAACAAAUUUAGUAAAAGAAUAAAGCACACUAAACUUCAAAAACAGGACCAAAAGUCAGAAAUAAAUCUCUUUCCACUGCUCAAAAUGAAAUAAAACAAAUUUAGUGGAAGAGCGAAACACUACACUAAACUCCAGAAACAUUACAGAAAGUUAGAAACUCACUGCAGAAAUUCUCUCUCACUACAAAAUGAAUCAUACUCCGCUCGUAAAAGGCUAGGAUGAGGUUGUGGAAGUAAGUCGUUGAACAUUUGAUGUAGAGAGUUCAUAUCAAGCAGACUGCAGCUUUCCCACUCCUUUUUUCCCUUGUUUCUGCAAUCAAAUUUAAUCAAGAACAGCUUUACUUUUUCUCCGGCCACAAAAAUUUUGUUCCCCGUUAUGUCGCCGUGGCCAAUUUUCAUCUUCCAAAUUUCUCCAAAGCAUGAGAUGAUGCCCCUAGAGAUAAGUUACAAAAAAAUCACAUGCAUGUGUAUCUAAUUUCUUACAUAAUUACUGUAGCACUUUUUGUGAUGUGAUGUAUGUGAGAUAAAAAGGUGGUUGAGAAUAUAAAAAGGUGGGUUGAAAAAUGUGUUUAUGAUGCAAGUAAAAUAUUCUUUGGGAUAAGUUCCCUAUCCAACCAAACCCUUCAGUUUUUUGGCAAUUAAUCUUUGGCCAAAAUAAAGAUUGGCUCGUUUCAAUCAAGCAGGGCCACGGGCAGGAAUGGUUGCAGGUGCAAUAGGAAUUGUUGCACCUUGCAACCGUUUCUAGUGAUUUUAUGCAUUUUGCAUACCGUUUAGUUUUGUUUGUAUACGGCGUAAUUUUAUUUGCACAACAUAUAACUUUAGAACAAAUUUUUAUGGAUCCCACACACGUUAUUAAAAACGAUGUACAAGAAAUGAUUUGGACCGUACAAUUUUUUUGGCCGUAAAUAGCUCAGAAGCGAUCCAUCUGAUGACCGUUCCUGCUCCUCGUCCAAUCAAGUGUGCCUUCUUACCAUGUACUCAAGUAGUACCGGUGCUUGACAAUAUUCAAUUUUUAAAAAAUUCAUAUACUCUCACAAUUAAGAAAUGUAUAAUUAUGACUACAUAAAACUCGUACGUUAACAACUAAAUUUAAAAUUCCUUACAACUGUAAUUAAAUCUUGAAGGAGUUAAAUUCAGAAUUCCUUACAAUUGCAAUUAAAUCUAGAAAGAAUUAAGUUCAAACUUCUUGACAACUGUAAUUAAAUCUAAAGGGUGCAAUCUGAAAGUGUUUCUUUUUUAUCUUUAGUUCCCUUGACUUAGUUCGAGUUUCUCCUACUAUAUAUAAUAUAUUAGCACACGAAUAGGGUAGUGUUCCUGAUUAACAUUGUAAAAAAAAAUUCAUAUACGUAAAUUACUAUAACGUCAUAAACCAUUUUUUUUUUAAAAGGUACUUGCUCAGGUUUGGAAUCGUGAGUUGGCCCAAACUAGACUUAACAUCAUAAAGUGAAACAACUGGCGGGUUGCAACACUAAUUAAGGAUAUUCAGUCUAUUUGUAAUUUGUUUCACCAGUGCUCUUUCUCUUUUGCUAAUGCUGGGAAAUUAGAUAGUAUUAAGCUGAGCAUUUAUGCUCUUAACAUUUGAGUAGAUGAAGAAUGGAUAAAUCUCAAUUUUAAAUGCUAGCGCAUCAAUGAAUAGUACGAGACUGUUGUUCCUUUUGUUUGGAUCCUUGUCUAAUUACAAUAAAGUUUUUACGACGAAUUAUAAAACUAUCGUUUCGACAAAAAAAAAAAAUCAUUACGCGAAACAAAACAAAGGUCCAAUUAAGUUUUACAUUCGGAGAAAAAAAUAAACGACGUCGUUGGCUGUUUCCACCUUUCUUCUUCCUCCUCCGGUUCACACACACUCAAAUAGAGGACAGGUACCCCUCCCGCCUCCUUACGGCGGCGUUUCGUUCUUCUUCCCGCCUUUUUUUUUCUCUUUUUGACUCACUCAUGAACGGAAGAAGCAAGGGCCAAUUUCUUGUAUGCAAUUUCCAACAAAUCAGAACAAUAGUAAAAGUCCGGCUGAAAUGGGUGAAGAACAGCUCCUUAGACCAUUAAUCGACGUCCAAACAGACCUUAAAGCCGCCUGCCUUCUCAAGGACGCUAUAGCACGCUUCUCCACAGGCUAUUUGCCCUCCAAAUCACUGGAAAAUACCCAGAAGCUAUUGGGCAUCACUGUCCCGACGCUGCGUUUCAUUCGCAGAUUCCCGACUUUAUUCCAUGAGUUCCCUCACCCCAAAUGGCCUUCUUUGGCCCGUUUUGAGCUGACCCAUGUUGCCAAAUUGCUUCGUCAGCAAGAAAUGAAGGUCUUUGAUGAAUGCCAGACUGAUUUGGUUGAAAGGCUUUGCCUCCUCCUCACGAUGUCCAAGUCCCAAAUGGUAUGCUCAUUUUGCUUUCACUUUUACUUACUGAAAUUUUGUGUGGGUUUUUUUUUUUUUGGUUUAUGUCUUGUUUUAGUUGGGUAAAUAUGCUUUAUGUUUUAUGCUUUUGCCGUUUUUAAUUUAAUUAGACGUCAAGCUUGCUGCUAUUUCUGUAAGUAAUUUUGCUUAUGUAUAAAGUAAUUGUGGGGCUUGUCGUUUGGGAAAUCAAUUUUACUAAAGUUGUUAUCGUUAUUGGGUAAUUGAGGUUGUUUAUGACAUUUUUUUUCAAAAAGGUUUAAUCAGGUAUCAAGAUUGAAUAAAAAUGUGAUUUGUAUUUCCUAAUAGUUUUUUUUGUUCUUUUUAUUGGUUUUUAUUCUUCCGUUAAUUAAAUUGGGCAUCAAAAUGAUAAAUAUUGGAUUUUUAAACUUUGCGGACGUCGGACUAUCUUUGGUGAAGGAGAAACAUAUGAACCAAACAAUUUGAUUGUUCCUGUGCAAUUUGGUUGUUAUGCUUUUGUUCGUCUGCCAAUGCCAAGGAGUUGAUGUGAAUAGUUUGGAGGUCUAUUUGUGUUGAGAUGUGUCUUCCUGUAUAAAAAUUUGUUGACGGUCAGCUGUUACUGUUUGAAGAGCUGAUGAAUUAUUUCUCGUGCUACCUUUAUGGAUUUUGUCCUAAGAAUCAACAAUGAUGUGAAGUGGUGUCAAUGGUGAUAUUUGUCUUCGCUUUUGCAUCCUAUGCAUAUAUAUAUCAUGGAAUUCUGUGAGCUAGAAUAGACGAGAUCUGCCCUUGUUUAGCUGAUUUGAUCUUGUGUCAAUACUUAUAGAGGACAACACAUGAAUAAAUAUGAUCACUUUUCUUGUAUUAGUCGAAUUCUAGUAUGAUGCGGUGAUGUUGCACCAUCAAAUUAAUGUGCAAGUUUGGAUGCUUUAUAUCUUCAUGGAUUAUGAGUUUUGUUUGUUUUAUAUGCAGAUACCUCUGCAAUCAAUACAUCCGUUGAAAUGGGAUUUUGGUUUGCCAGAUGAUUUUGACAAGAAUUUAGUCAAAAGGUUCCCAGAUCAUUUUCAGAUUGUUAAAGGAACAAAUGGAUUGGCUUGUUUGAAGCUUGUUCAGUGGCGAGAAGAAUUUGCUGUAUCUGAGCUGCAAAAGAGCAAUGAGAAGAGAGGAUUAGAAAGUGAUAAUGGUGCUGAUGGAAGAAAUGCUUAUAAGUAUCGGGAAUUCAAGAGGGGAAAAUCAGCUUUAGAGUUCGCAAUGAGUUUUCCCAGAGGCUAUGGAGCUCAAAAGAAGGUGAAGGCAUGGAUGGAGGAAUUUCAAAAGCUACCCUACAUCUCUCCUUAUGAGGAUUCCAGGAGGAUUGACCCAAAUAGUGAACUUGUGGAGAAGAGAGUUGUUGGAGUGCUCCAUGAAUUUUUGAGCUUGACUAUUUACAAGAAGACAAAGAGGAAUUACUUGAGGUCCUUGAGAGAGGAGUUAAUUCUUCCCCACAGGUUUACUCGACUAUUUACUAGGUACCCAGGGAUAUUUUACUUAUCGCUAAAAUGUAAGACAACUACUGUUGCACUGAGAGAGGGGUACCGCAGGGGAAGACUAGCGGAACGACAUCCUAUUGCUUGACACAGGGAUAAGUUUCAUCAUGUAAUGAGAACUGGGUUGGUAUACCGAUGUAAAGGGAUUGAAGUUCUACCUCAGCUGGACAGUUUGAUUGAUGAAGCCGAAGAGGACAAAGUUGAAGGUCAAAGCGAAGAAGAAGAGAUUGAAACAAGUGAUGAAUGCUAUGAAGCUGGUACUUCGGAGGUGGAGAGUGCGUCUGAUGAGGAUUAGCAUUGAGUUGUCUGAAUGACCCCUUUUUUUUGUCGGGUUGGGCUAAGAGAUAUUGAGCUCUAUAGGUAGAUAGGUCCUGCUGUGUAACAUUCUAGAUCUGUAUUUCAGUAUUCUUGCUUGAUGCAUGGUCUGGUAUACAAGUGUUACAGAUGGCUUCAUUGCUCAUUCAAAGCGAGAAUAGUAUUUAUUUUUGUAAUUGGCUUACAGAUAUGUUUGCUAAGAUUUUCAUGUUUAGCAUUGCCAUUUAGUAGAGAGCCAGCAACUGGGAUGCAGCAAUUGCUUGGCUUACUUGAACUAAAGACUUGAUGCUGUAUAACAUUUUACCUGAGGAAAUGAAAAAACAUGGAAAUGUGUUGUUUUGAGAUUUUCGUCAUGUGUGCAUGUGAUGUGUUAGACUUUCACCCGGAUUCCCAGACAGUUUCAUCCUUUCCUUGAGGAGCUCCAAGACUAUGCUGCAGUCUCCCAAUUACCAGACAUACAUCUCACUUGCAAUGGAGCUUUCUCGUGAAAAUACAUUUAUUUCUGUGUAUUCAUGGUGCCUUGCAUUAAGAGCCAGGGAAGCUGUUUCUCCCUUCUGUAUCUUAUCAAAACUCCAGGUUCUACCUCGCUAGUUGUGGCUGUCAUAGAUCGGAUGGUAUCAACCUGGCAGUUUGAUGGCUUAAUUAUUUUUCUUUCACUUUGACAAAAAGAAAGAAAAGCACUGGUUUGACAAAACGUUCUCCAGCAUAAUUGUUCAAUAGUGAUGCGAAAAUGGACAAAUAGUUGCACCCAGCAUUACCAAAGUUGUGGUAAGGACUUGCUAAAAAAGUACUAUAGUUGUACAUAUUUUAAUAAUCACAUAAAAUUAUACCUACUUUAAUAAGAAUUGCAAGAAAAUGAAUGGUAAAGUAUCUUUGAUGCAAUUGUAUGUAAUUGUCUUGUUCAUCUUUUCUACUAACAAAACAAAAAUACAAUUUGUGACUUACAACCACGCUUUCAUUUUUAUCAGCCUAUUAUAAAAAUAAGAAAAAACCUUUUCCCGAACCAAGUGCAUUUGUUGAGCCUGUAUAUAACAAGCCAAAUCCAAGUUAAAAAUUGUGAAAUUUCUGUGUUUUUUACUCUUCUGGAAAUGAUAGACAUAUGAAGUUCGUUGUCUCGAAAUAAUCUAGACGAAAUUUUCAACGAAAAUCAUCGUUGAAACGAAGAGUGUGACAUCCAAGCUCCUCAUCUUUGGAUUGGCAACACAUUACUAAUGGAAUGGAAUUGUUUGGAAGGUUGUUGACUACACGAACGUAAUGCCCCUCGAUCGAAGCUAUUACAUGGAUAGUUUCGAAAAAGUAAAAUGAUAAGAUGACUAGAUAUAGAAGGUUUUUCAGUUUGGUCUAUGUCAUUUUGCUCAGUGAAAUUUAACUCUUUGAAUCAGAAAACGCCCUGGAGCUACAUGCAAGAUGGUAAUGUUGUUCCUUUUUUUUUCCUUUUCGCUUAGAGAAAAAACGUUGGAGUGGUUCACUGGGGUUGAAAUUUUAACUUUUGUUGGUUAACGCUAAUUUUAAUAUGAAUGCGGAUAAAGGAUUUGGAAUCACUCAAAAUUUUGGGUAAUCGCUAAUGAGCAUGCAUUGAUUCCAGCCGCAUGGUAAAUAAAUGUCCAUUUUGUGCAAAUAUGGGAAGUAGUUCACAUAAUAAUUAACCAAUUAUCUUUUAUCUCUUUAUUCAACUUCAACAACAUCCCUCUCUCACUCUUAUUAUUUUCUUCCCCUCUUCUUCUGGGAUCUUGUUUCUUUGAAAAUUAAAGCAAAAGUGUCUAUUGAAGGAAACAAUAUGAUGCUGGUCUGUCUAAUGGGUGCUCAAACUCAUUAGGAUAUGUUUUAGAUGUUAGAAUUUUUGAAAAGGUAAAAUUAAUUAGGAAAAGUCUAUAAAUAUGAGAGAGGAUAAUAGUUGUUAGUAUGUGUAUGUGUGUAAUGGAUUCGGUGAAAUUUAAAUGUGUUAACGAGUGCUUAUUGGACACCCGUUAGAAAAAUCGUACGAUGCACACUAAUUAAUUAAUAUGAUUAAAAGAAUAUCAAAAUGAAAACUCGUUAUUCCAAGUGGGAUACAGGGCAGGGGACCGUCCCUGGACAGUUCACGACCAAGGUUUGGCCAAAAAAAAUUAUACAGUCCAGAUUUCAUCUUGUAUCUCGAUUUUAACAACAUGUGUGGGACCUACAAAAUUUUGUUCUAAAAUUAUAUGUUGUUAAAAAUAAGUUACACCAUGUGCAAACAAAGCUAUGUCGUGUGCAAAAUGCAUAUAACUGUCAGGAACGGUUGCAGAAGGUCAUUAUCAUAAACAAGAUCCUCGGUUUUCGAUUGACAACCACUACUAAUGGAAUAGAUUUGUUGAGAAGCCUAUGAUUGGCCGAGCUAAUUAAUUUUGGCUCCAAACAUCUACAAGGCCAAUUUCGGAAAAAAGUAAGGUGGUGUAAUAAACUAUAGCAUUAAUUUUUAUUUUAGUCACUAAAUUUUAAAGUAGGACAAUUUAGUCAUCAAAGUACGAAAAUAGUCCUCCUUUAAAAUCUGUCUUACUUUAAUCCCUAAGGUACAAAAUUUGUCCUAUUUAAUCUCUAAAAUAUUAAAAACCAGUCUCACUUUUAUCUCCAAUGUAUAAAAUUUAUCCUACUUUAAUUCCUAGGUACAAAAUAUAUCCCGCUUAAUUAUAAAUUUUAUUUGACUUCUGCUAACAAUUUUACUUGUCAAAAAAAUUUUCAUAUUUUGGGCACUGAAAUAUCCUAUUUUGAAGUUUAGAAAACGAAAUAAAAAUACAAGUAUAAUUGAAAGAGUGCAAAGUGGAAUUAACUCUAGAUAGUAAGACAUGUACACUAGAAAAAACCCUCCAUCAUUUUUUUUAGGCAAACAUAAAAAAAAAAAAAAAAGAACUGUCCAUCAUUCAUGGUAUAACUUAUCUUGAUUUUGAUCGAAAUGAUACAUGCCAAGCUUCCUCCUCCUACGUUCUCGCCAAGGAUUGACUGUUGAUGUUGAUUAAUCACAUAAAUAUGGCGCAUUUACUCUUAUAGCUGUCAAUAAAUGUUAGUUGCCAAUCAAGGCAACAUUUCAAGUCCUUUAAUUACAGAAGGUUUGGCGAAAUAAAUCAUUUGGCUCACAGGUGUUGUGACUGUUGUCAACGUUCUUUACUAAUAUGAAUAGGACUGCAAAUAAUGGAACAAUUUUGGUAGAGAAAUGUUAUAGUAAGCAUUAAUUAGUAUACCAAAAAAAAAAAAGCUCCUGAUGUUAUCUUUCUUUUCUUAUCUUCUUUAUUCCAUCCAGUUUUUUUUUUUAGGCUUAUAUAUGAAUUUCUUAACUUUGUAAAGUUUUUGUAGGCAUAUCUAGCCUAAACUAGCCUACUCCUACUGGGGGGAGCCUACUCCAGAGAGUGGCUCAACUAAAUCGGAGAAAUUUGAUAGGAACUAAAUUACUAUCAGACCAGACGGAUGCACCCCACUCUCGUAUGAAUUUAUAACAAGCCUCGUAGAGAGGCAUAUUAAUAGGAGGUAAGAUUUGAACCCUUGACCUUCUACCUCACAAUUAAUGUGGUGGCCAACUCCUCCGGAGGGAUUUGGUUAACUUUGUAAAUUUAGUUCGACACACAAAUUCCUCUAGCAAGCCUUGUUUGAAAGGUGAGUUUUUUUAGAGUUUAUCUAAAAUUUUACUGUGACUUGCUGUAGAAGUUUUUUUAAAAUUUUUUGAAAUGUGUAGAUUUUUAAAUAUUUUGAAGUGUAUAAUUUAAAAAUUUUGAGAAAUUUUUUGAGAUUAUUAUAACUAAAGUUUUUAAAAAAAACUUAUAGCGACAAACUUGGCAAAAAAACUUAACUUCCAAACAAGGCCAAAACAUGCGCAGGAGGGAUUCAGUUUCCAGCAGGCGGCAGCCAAUUUAAGGGAGAUAAAAAAAACUUAUAGCGACAAACUUGGCAAAAAAACUUAACUUCCAAACAAGGCCAAAACAUGCGCAGGAGGGAUUCAGUUUCCAGCAGGCGGCAGCCAAUUUAAGGGAGAUACUGUCCGCUAAUAAAUAAAUAUAUAUAUGCAAUAAAUAAAAUCUUCACAAAUCAUAGAGUAAUAUAUGUGUACAGUGGGGACUUGUACGCCCGCAACAUCAUCUAGAAGCCACAUAUUGCACUGAUCUUGAGUUCCAGACAUCCCUUUGGUCCCUAAAAGACCCUUGAAUCAUUUUUGACUCUUCCGCAGCACAUCACAGGCCUUGUAAGGAGCCAAAAGUUUCCCCCAACAAAGUCCAUGUAAUUAGCUCCUCGCCAAGUUCCAUAAAAUUCCAAAACUUGAAAAAAAUACAUUGAUCGGUGACAGAAAAUCCCAGCCAGAUUUUCAAGAUUCAAAUUACCAUGCUAACAAUCUCUAAGCCAGAUCAGUUCCUCCAUAAUGUACAAAGAGACACCAAUAUCUUUAACCUUCCAAUGGUUAUACUACAAAACAAAAGGCACUUAUCAGGGGCAGGGAUUUGGGAACCUUGAAUGCACCUUGUUAACAUCUCCAAUAAUGUCAUCACUCAGAUUGACACUGCAGGCAUUGAGAACCUCUUGGAUUUGUCACACUGUUGUAGCUCCAAAAAUGGCACUUGCAACAAGAGGGUGUCGAAGAACAAAGGCUGCACAGAGAAAACUUCACGAUUACAAAGCUGAGGAUAUCUUUAAAGAAGCAUUAUCUUAUAUAGAAUACUAUAGUAUGAGCAUAAUAGUUUUUUUUAGAACCACCAACACUUGAGCCAAACCAUCAGCAGGAGGUACCUCACCUUGAGUGAAGCCAAAUGCAGAUAAUCCGAAAAUCUCCUACUCAUUACACGAAUAAACAACUCAUAGGGGAAGUUUAUAACUCGGAAAUUUCUUCAGUAUCAUUAUGUUCAGAGACUCCGAGACACCAACUAUUAGCAUAAUAACAACUCAUCCAGCAACUAGCACUUUUAAAAUGUAUAGCUUGUUUAUAAGAAACACCUCCAAAAUAAGCUUGCAAAUACAAUAUGCAGUAUCACUGCAAAAGGCCUGAUGGUUGAAUAUAACUGGUUGUUGACUUUUUCUUUUUUCUAUAUUCUCAGGGGAAAAGCAUCUUUAUUUGCACCUUUCGAAGGACUAAUGGUCCUGGACCACAAAAACAAAAUAAAAUAAUAUAAAAAGCAAAAUCAACUAUUGGUGGUUUUCGAUGUUAAGAACUCUUUUUGAGAGUUCAAAGAAAAGAAUUUCAGUCAAUUUCCAUAUAUCAGUCAGUGGAUCAGGUUAGAAAGGGUGAAUAGAAAUUAAGAGAGAGAGAGAGAGAGAGAGAAUGCACUUAAAGAGACAUUUAACCACUAUGAAGAAAAUAAAAUGACGCAAAAUUCAGGAAAAUUUGAUAUGUAAGCUGGAAUCAACCCAUGCAAGGCUAGGCAUCCCAAUAUAUAGACAAGAGAGAGAGAGAGAGAGAGAGAGUUAUACCAAUUGCAAGAGACACCGGGUGGACGUCGUAUUCUUCAGCAAUUUCAAGAUAUGACUGCACAAUAAAGUAAAAUCUUGAUAAGUAGACAAGAAAAUGUGCUUCUAUGCACAAUCACCCUAUAUGUUUAAAAGAGCAGUUGAUAACAUUAUAACUUGUUUGGCCACAGAAUCCUCCAGAAUGUUCAAUAAAAACAGUUGCAAGCAUAAUAAAACUGCCAAAUAAUAUCAAACAAUGAAUCAAGCUGCAGAAAGAAAAUGAAUUUAGCAAUGCCUGCAAAAUAUCUAGGCAUGAGUUAUUUCCUGUUUCCUUUACAAUCAACCAAAGAUCUCACAAAACCAGCUUGCUUCUCCUCCUAUGAAAAUAAUUGGCUUACUUCAGUGGCUGCCUUUAUAUUGGUCUUUGACAGGCUGUAUCUCGACUCUCCUUCAGCAUAUCUUCCGGACAAAAGGAAGAGACAACUGUUUGACCAAGAUUUGAUAGAAGAAACCAAUGUAACCUCUGAAAGAUUAAAACGAGCAUCUGGCCGACCCUUGUCAAGUGAGAAAUACUUGCCGGAGAGAAUGCCCAUAGCUAAAGGACUGUGUACUAACAGACAAACCCUAAAUAUAAAAUUUUGUUUUGUUUUUGUGUGUUGGGGGGUGGGGGGGUCAGUGCAGGAAAAUGCCAGCAUCAGAAUAAUUUAUUAGACGAUCAUAUGCAUAUAUAAGCAUGAAGGAAAGUUCUUCCACUGGAAUACAGAAUAAGAAGGCCAACAGAAAACUAGAUAAGAGUAGUUUCCUCUGUUCUAUUUCUGGUUGGUGUAGUGCAUAUCUGAUGAAAACUUCAAAGAAGAUGUUUUCACAAAGACCAUCACAUUUAAGCCAAGAAACUUAACUCCUUUCAUAUAUUUGAAGUAUAAACUCUUUUACAGGUUAUGUUCUCAUUCCACUUAAAAAUUCACAAAAUCUCUAUAACUGCCAUGUACCCAAAACCUCAAGAAGAUGCACGAAGCCAGUAAUUGUGAAUACAACAGACAAAAAUUAAGACCAUGAAAAAGUCAAGUACAGCAUGAAUAAGUGCGGUUCAUGGAAACAAGAUGGUCAAAAGGAAUGAGUAUGACGAAUGAUAACUUGCCAGAAGAUACACUAAGUGAAAGAGGUAAAAUGAAGCAAAUAAAUGCGGCUUGAAAGACAAGAGGCUUCAGGUUUGGAAUUUAGACAAAAAAAGAAACAACCAUUGAUGUGUGGCUAAACCAAGAAUGAAGAGUGACAUACAUAUUUAUCACAACAAAAAUGUAAUGAACUCGUAGCAGAAGGCAGUUAAACAUGUUGACAGUACAGUAUAUAACUGAAUAUUGAAAUACAUACUUCAUAGGAUAUUAGUGAGCAAUCACUUUCUCAAUAAUUUUUGGAGCUUCCUAGUGGAUGGAAGGAGUAUUCCCAGUAUAAGUGAGGCUUAACUCAGUUGUGCAGAUCAUACACACAUUCAGUACUAAGGGGUACCUCUCAUGGUGACAGCAUUCAGCCAUCCCAAAAUCAAAGUUCCGGCAAAGCAAGUUGUACGCAUUCUGAAAAUAGGGAAGUGAAUCAUAUAUUAGCUUCACAUACAUAGGGCCAACUAAAGUACAGAGAUGAACACACAUGCAAGAAUAGACAGCAAAACAAACUCAAAUUACUCAAUUAUCUAAAGAAGCCACCUUGAAAAAAAAGCCCCGCCAGAGCAAGUUGCACAAGUUCUGAAAGUAGGGAGGUGAAUCAUACCACAAGCAUAGGGUGCACUAAAAUACAGAGACAAGCAAACACAUGCAAGCAUAGACAACAAAACAAACUCAUAUUACUCAAUUGUCAAAAGGAAGCUACCCAUACAACACCUGCAAAGAUACUAUCCUUGGAUAGUGAGGUUGCUUUUGGGCAAUUUCCAGAAACUUCAUGACUCCAUACGGAGUCUCAUUGCUUAGUCCGAUGUAUCUGAUCUACAAUAACAGUCAACAUUCUGUAACAGGAAUAUAUCACCCUAAAGCAAUAAGUUGAAUACGAGCUGAACUUUUAGGUCAUCUUUACUAACCUUACCAGCAUCAACAGCUCUGCCUAAAGCAUCAAGUUGUUCAUCAAAACUUAUAUGUGAAAUAUAACGGCCAGGAUCAUAGUCAGUUUCUCCAAACAUUGGAACAUAACUGCAAGAAAUCCCAGUGGACAUCAUCCACGAAAACAAACUUUUUUUUUUUUGUUCUGUUUUUUUCUGCAGGGGACAAUAUGUGGGAUUACUUCAGUUAGAUUUGCAAAGGACAGUUACACAUUUUUAGUACGUCAGCUUAUUAUUCUGGAAACAGAAUUUGUUCUAAUGGUUACCCAUUUGCCACAUAGUAUCUAUACAGAAAAGGUCAGGUCAAUGUACAAACCGAUCAGGCCAGUGGAUUUGAUACAAGUCUAUGUAAUCAGUUUGAACACGCUACAAACUGCAAGAAUUUUUGCAAUCCUGUCAGAGAGUAUUUCAACAAAAUCAUCUUGAAAACAAAAACAUACAAGCCCUGCAGUUAAGAACUGCUACCUCAAACACACACAGACACUAGAGACAUACAAUCUCUGAAUGCCAGUGUAAUGAUGUAAGUGUAGAACUAGACCCAGCAGACAACAACAUUAGCACCACUUAGGCACUCAAGAUAUAGGUUUACCCCAUGAGAGCAGAGGGCUACAACCGAAUAACUCAGCCUAUUCUCUAGGGCUUCUGUUAUAUAUAUAUAUAUAUAUAUAUAUAUAUAAUGCAGCAUAUUUUAUACGCCAAUAAAUGUAGGUAAUAUACAAGGAGGUGAGAUUGUGAAAUGGCUCAAGCACAAGAUGUCGAGUUGAAGUAUCAAAUAACACAACGAUUAACGCGCAAAGGUGAACUGAUCAAUGUAUCAGCCCACUAUAUCUGCUUUUGAACGAGUCACCUAGGAAGGCUCUGUUUUGUCAGGCGCUGACCAGAACAAAACUGAAAUUGUCAAAGGGAGGCUUCCCUUCUCAACCUUAACUGGAUCAGCGUAAUAGUGUAAUACCAAAAAUUCAAUCAAUAGCGCAAGUUCAGGAUCCAACCUCAAUCCUUCUGGAUCAUGAAGCAAACUCCAAGACUAUAUAUAUGACACAAUCCAAAGGAAAUAAAACCCCACAAAAACAAGAAACCGUUGGCUAUAGCAGUUUCAUCAAAAGCUCCAUUUUCUAUAUAUUGGAAAACACGAGAAUUAGCCAGAAACAAAAACAAAAUGGGAUCAGCUACCAUGAAAGCUGCUAGUAGUAGCAUUUUUUGCACUUGUCUCUUUUCCAUGAUCAUCAGCUUCAGCUCUAGCUAUGCUAGGCCUUCAUACUAAUCUUUCUUAACUUACAAUAUGAAGGAACAGAUGGGACGCACAAUAGAGCCAUUCUUUGUUGCAUUACAAGUCCUUGUACUUACCAAU